AUUGAACGCUGGCGGCAGGCCUAACACAUGCAAGUCGAACGGUAACAGAAAGCAGCUUGCUGCUUUGCUGACGAGUGGCGGACGGGUGAGUAAUGUCUGGGAAACUGCCUGAUGGAGGGGGAUAACUACUGGAAACGGUAGCUAAUACCGCAUAACGUCGCAAGACCAAAGAGGGGGACCUUCGGGCCUCUUGCCAUCGGAUGUGCCCAGAUGGGAUUAGCUAGUAGGUGGGGUAACGGCUCACCUAGGCGACGAUCCCUAGCUGGUCUGAGAGGAUGACCAGCCACACUGGAACUGAGACACGGUCCAGACUCCUACGGGAGGCAGCAGUGGGGAAUAUUGCACAAUGGGCGCAAGCCUGAUGCAGCCAUGCCGCGUGUAUGAAGAAGGCCUUCGGGUUGUAAAGUACUUUCAGCGAGGAGGAAGGUGUUGAGGUUAAUAACCGCAGCAAUUGACGUUACUCGCAGAAGAAGCACCGGCUAACUCCGUGCCAGCCGCCGCGGUAA
rnacentral:rRNA from 1 species